UACGUAGGGUGCGAGCGUUGCCCGGAUUUAUUGGGCGUAAAGGGCGCGUAGGCGGGCCGCCAAGUUCGAGGUGAAAUCCUCCGGCUCAACCGGAGAACUGCCUCGAAUACUGGAGCCUCGAGGCGGGUAGGGGCGUGCGGAACUGUGGGUGGAGCGGUGAAAUGCGUUGAUAUCCACAGGAACUCCGGUGGCGAAGGCGGCACGCUGGACCCGAUCUGACGCUGAGGCGCGAAAGCCAGGGGGAGCAAACGGG
rnacentral:rRNA from 1 species